rnacentral:rRNA from 1 species
AGCGAACGCUGGCGGCAGGCUUAACACAUGCAAGUCGAACGCAUCACUUCGGUGGUGAGUGGCAGACGGGUGAGUAACACGUGGGAACGUACCCUUCGAUCUGGGGUAACUUCGGGAAACUGGAGCUAAUACCGGAUACGCCCUUUUGGGGAAAGGUUUACUGUCGAAGGAUCGGCCCGCGUCUGAUUAGCUAGUUGGUGGGGUAACGGCCUACCAAGGCGACGAUCAGUAGCUGGUCUGAGAGGAUGAUCAGCCACACUGGGACUGAGACACGGCCCAGACUCCUACGGGAGGCAGCAGUGGGGAAUAUUGGACAAUGGGCGCAAGCCUGAUCCAGCCAUGCCGCGUGAGUGAUGAAGGCCUUAGGGUUGUAAAGCUCUUUUGUCCGGGACGAUAAUGACGGUACCGGAAGAAUAAGCCCCGGCUAACUUCGUG